CUCGGACUCACCGCCCAGCCCGCCACUCACCUUCCGGUUGGACAGACUUCCAAAGAGAGCGGGAAAGGAUGCUCGCCACUGGAGCCCAGACAUCAUGCCAGGAGGAGGCUCAGGCCGCAUGGUGAGGCCAUGUGCCAGCAACAGCAGGUGUUCUGGGUAACAGCUCCAGCUGAGAUCUGAGUCUCCAGCUCCAGACUCAGCACCAGCUGACAUAUGCAGGAGAGGCAUGUUCCCAAACGAACUGUUUUCUGCCUCUGGGAAUCGGCUAGUCUUGGGAAGUACAGUCUCUCCAGAGUCAACAAGGCCCCAGGUGUCCAAUCACCAGAAAUACAGAAAAUAGAAAAGUAUGAUUAAUACAUAUGAUGGAGUCUUCAGCAAGACACCCGUAUCGCCAGAGAGACACUGAGAACCUCAGCUUCUUCUCUUGGGCUUCCCCGCUGUGACUCGGGAGGAAAUCUGACUUGCAAGAGAGUCCUGGGCCUCCCCGCUUCCUCUCCUCUGGUUUCCAAGGUAGCAGACCCUGGGCUCCCUUCAGCCCGGGCUCCCCCAGUCAGUCCCACUUGGCAUUCCCCGGUUUCUAAGUGAGGUUACAGAUACACAUGGAGCCCAGAACUCAUUGCUUUUUUGGAAAGGGCAAAAUAAGAGAGGGGAUUUUCCAUAUUCACAUUUUUCCACAGAAAUGUAUUCAUAAGCUUUAAACUUGCCCAAGCUAUGUUAAUGUAUGUGGUUGGCUUCUGUGCCAAUUUUCAUUGUGAAUAAUAUGCUAAAUAAAAGGGUUCUUGUCUUCCCGCUCCCUCCCCACCUCCCAUAAUUUUAAGUUCAUAAGCCCAUUUUGUAAGUGAAUCGGGUCUUAGGAGAGAAUCAGAAACUGUGUUGUUCUUUUAGCUGCUAGCUGCUCACAGUGUUUGCUUUAAACCCUUGAUAGGAACGCGGGCCUGUGACAGCAGCGGCCGGGGUAAACAGAUGACUUUAUAUAUAAUGCUUUUUACAAGGUGGUUCAGUUCAUUUCUAACCUUGGUCUUGGCGUCAUGGAAUGAGCCAGGGAAAUUCCACCCCUUAACCCUACCCUGCAUCUCCUCCCUUCAAGGGCAAGAAAAUGUCCAUUUGCCUGUGGUUUCCCAGCCCUUUCCCUCAGUCGAGCCUGCAUAGUGCCGUACCCCCAAAUAGCAGGGAACCCCAGUCAUGUCAGCAGGUGGUAUAAUUUUCAUAGUAGUAUUUUAACCAAGGGACUGAACGCACACAAUAAAAGUUGCAACCUUUAUGAGCCGGGAGCUGGCGUGUCCUGGCAUGUCCUGGCUGUCAAGUUUCAGUGCGUUUUGGUUCGAAUGUUCCCUGCCUGUGUUUAUUCCUGGUCACACCACACCUCCUGGGACCGUCUUUGUGGCUUUGCUCAGCUGCUGACUCAAGUUUCAGAAGACAUGGGGGAGAGUGGGGGACGUUGGCAAGAUUCUGGCCUGAAGAAACGGCCCCAGUGGCUCCACGCUUCUGAGACAUUGAAACCGCCCAUCCCUCACUAUCCUUGGAAGGUUCCACAAAGCCAACUCGCCAAGAAUGUGUAGGUUUUUGGGGGUGUUAACGUGAGCGGCACAGUGAGGACCCAGAGCCCUGAAACCAAGGAGAAAACGUGACCUUUCUAUCAGAGAAGCCUGGAUCCCAAUUCCAGUCCUCCAAGGACCUAGCGAGCUCCUUGCUGUGGGACUUGGGAACCUCUUUUUCUUCCUCUGGAAAAUGAAGAUAUUAGCUAUGAACGUUGGGAAAAGACCCUGCUUCAUAGUUUUUAUGUGAAGAAGAAGAAACGGCUUUGCGCGGCACUGGCCCAGCAGCUUGUGACAAAGGAUCGCUGUUUCAGAUGCGAGGUCUGUGUGUCCUUCUCAGGCCCCGUAUGAAGAGAGACAUCCUUUGCUUGUCAGCAAGAACGGCUACCUUGUUCCAGCCUGUGGAAACAUGGUACUUCCAAGGCUGCCUAAGUGGAUGGCAGGUUGCGGGCCUGGGGACACACAGGGGCCAGCCCAGUCUCCAGGAGAAGACGGACCCUUAUCCUUGGAUGUCCCAAUCCAGGCCUGGUGCCAUGGAUUCCCCCCCAGCAGACCAGGGGACAGUCUGUUGCAGCAAGUCCUAGGAGGAGUGGCCCGGAUGCUGAGUGCACCUAGGAUGGGGGGCUCCUCUCUCUGUCACCUUCCUUAGCCCCCUCCUGCCUCGAGGAGAGGUGCAGGUGGAAAGUGGCAGCCUGGAUCUUCUCGCAGGCUUGUAGGGGCCGGGCUGGCCUCUCCGUGGUUUACCUGUUCCUUUAAUCCAGGUACAUGGUCUCUGACACUCUGGUGAAGCCUCUGAGCUCCUUCCUGAGGAAAGUUUUAAAUUUGUAAAAUACAGUUUGGGGGAUUCCAAAGGAAACUAAUUAGAUAUCAAAACAUUUUUUUCAAUUGUGACAUAGUAACAGAUGUAUUUCUGAAGUAGUCUAUUACAGCAAGAUCUAGCAGAGGGCCUAAAAACGAUCAUAUUUUGAAGUAAGUGAUGACUGAAAAUGUCAUGAUGAGAUAUCUCUGUGAUAGAAAAAUAUCUGCGAUUUCUUUUAGGGCAAAGCAUGUCUCCUGCGAAGCCUGCCUUGGUUUGUUGCCUACAUUCAGUGCCACGGGAAGGGCUCUGUUCCAUUCAGAGAGUGGUACAGACAAGGUGGAAUUUUCUCCCUGUCCAGGUCCACAGACCCCAUGACGGAAGCCCUGCUUCAGCCCACCUUGCUUAGCUGACCCCCUCGUCUCUGUGCCCUUGGAGGCCCUGGUCCCAGCUUCUCAUUGUCUUGCCUCCUCGUUUUCACCAUCAUCUCCAGUGCCACCUCCACGUGCUUGUUCACUGACCUUCCUGCAGUACCGUCACUCUGGUCCCAUCAGAUCCGUUUUUCCAAUCCCAGGGUUUGACGUCAGAGCCUACCUUCCAUGGCAGCCACUUAAAGAAAGCUGGGCUGAUUUCUAAAGCUGCGUCUGCACCAGAAUCCUGUGACGGACAUGCUGGCUAAGGUCCAGAUUUGUGUCUUGGCGCCCUCAAUCUGAGCUGCUGGGUGUAAGGCAGGGGUUGCAAACUCAAAGCACAUCCAGGAACCAGGCAAGGAGGUGCCGAUAUAAAAGACUCAGGGCCCCCUCGGUCUUAUUUACCCGCUUUGAAGUACGCAGUUCUGCCGUGUAAGAAAAACAACGGGAUGAGUGUAACAACUCCUGUCAUCGAAACUGAGGUCACAGUGGCCGAGAUAGUGACUCUGCAGAAUCCGUGUCCAUUGGGUACGUUCCCAACUGCGAGCUCCUAGGUCAGCGACCUCACUCCUCGUUUUGGGCACACCUGGUGUCCAUCUGCCAUAUCCUCCAAUUUUUCAAGAAACUUGGAAAUGUUAUGGGAAAUCUCUUUAUGACUGUAUGUUGGAAACUGUUCCGGUUACUAUUUCUGCACAACAAAUUAACUUAAAACUUACCCGCUCACAAACAACCAUUUUAUUAUUCUCAUGGAUUCUUUGGCUCGCAAUUCACAGGCAAAGUGGGCUUGUCUUGUUUCGGCUCCACCAUGUCUGAAGCCUCAGCUGGGAGGACUCGAAGGCUGGGGGCUGGAAUCAUCGAAAGGGCCAUUUAUUCAUGUCUAGUUCUUGGGCUGGGAAGACUGAGUGAGCCAAACUGCUACUUGGAUCAACCAUGUGUCGCUUCCCCAUGUGGCCCGACUUCCUCACAUCAUGGCAGCCCCAGAGGUGUGGGACUUCUCCCCGGCAGAGCGUCAAGCACCAGCAUUCCUACAGACAAGGAGAAGGCUGCGUGGCCUUUUAUGACCUGGUCUUAGACAUCAUACAGCAUCGCUUCAGCUGUACUAUUGCUGGUCAAAGCAGUCAAAAGCCCACCAGAGUCAAGGCUUUGCCUUUUAAUGGGGUACAUUCUAAAAAAAACACAUGGCCAGGAAAUAGUGUUGCAAUCAUCUUUGAAAAAUAUAACCUGUUGCAGUAGCUAAUUCAAAACUUUAUUUUUUAAAAUGAAUUGAACACUGUGUGUACAACUCCGUAAAAAUUGUGUCUGUAGGCUAGACAUUGCAGGGGCCACAAGUUUUGGAUUUCUGCUUUGAGGGUAUAAGAAUUCAGAGAUGAUUAUUUGGCUUCUCUCCUUCAGGAACACAAUCUAGUAUUGUGGAUUUUAGAAUUUCUAUGGAUUACGUAUUCACAUUUUUGUGUCCUUGUUGGAGCUGGAGGGGGUUGUUCAGGGUGUGCUGAGAUGGUAUAUCAGAAUAUCUGGGAACAUGGGUCCCCCAUUCCCAGCCCCAGGAGGCUUAUGCUGUACCCCAAGGAGGAACACUGGCAUUUUUUAAAACGCUUUUGCAGUUCAGGACCCUGAGCUUCCUCCCACCCCACCCUCCACCAUUGAGAAGCGCUAUUUAGAACAGACUUCUACAUUGCAAUCAGUGGGUAUGAAUUCAGAGAUCAUCCCUACAAGAUGUCAUCUAAAUUCUUUGUUUGCUUGUAAACAUGUUAGCUUUAGACCCAGGGUAACCCAUUCUUCUCUCCCUCCAUUCCUCAUGAUCAGGUCUUUCUAAAUAUGUUUGGAUAUUGUACCACCCCACUGUUCACAGGAGCACUAUUUACAACAGCCAAGACAUGGAAACAGACUAAAUGUCCAUCAACAGAUGACUGGAUAAAGAAAAUGUGGUAUAUUUAUACAAUGGAAUACUCUUCAGCCAUAAAAAACAACAACAUAAUGCCAUUUGCAGCAACAUGGAUGUCCCUGGAGAAUGUCAUUCUAAGUGAAGUAAGCCAGAAAGAGAAAGAAAAAUACCAUAUUGAUAUCGCUCGUAUGUGGAAUCUUAAAAAAGAAAGAAAGAAGAAAGAAAGAAAAAGACAAAUGAACAUAAAUACGAAACAGAAACAGACUCAUAGACAUAGAAUACAAACUUGUGGUUGCCAAGGUAGAGGGGUUGGGAAGGGACAGAAGGGGAGUUCAAAAUUUGUAGAUACUGACAGGCAUAUGUAGAAUAGAUAAACAAGAUUGUACUGUACAAUAUACAAGAUCUUGUGGUAGCUCACAGCAAAAAAAAUGUGACAAUGAAUAAAUGUAUGUUCAUGUAUAAUUGAAAAACUGUGCUCUACAAUGGAAUUUGACACAACAUUGUAA